rnacentral:rRNA from 1 species
GGGGGGGGAGCGAGCGUUGUUCGGAUUUACUGGGCGUAAAGGGCGCGUAGGCUGAUAGGGCAAGUCGAGUGUGAAAUCCAACGGGCUUAACCGUUGAAUUGCACUCGAAACUGCCUGUCUCGAGUACAGGAGAGGAAGGCGGAAUUCUUGGUGUAGCGGUGAAAUGCGUAGAUAUCAAGAAGAACACCAGCGGCGAAGGCAGCUUUCUGGCCUGAUACUGACGCUGAGGCGCGAAAGCGUGGGGAGCAAACAGGAUUAGAUACCCCGGUAGUCCUGGCUGCAAACGAUGGGCACUAGGUGUAGGGGGGUUGUACCCUCUGUGCCGCAGUUAACACGUUAAGUGCCCCACCUGGGGAGUACGGUCGCAAGGCUG